rnacentral:rRNA from 1 species
ACGCUGGCGGCGUGCUUAACACAUGCAAGUCGAACGAUGAAGCCUAGCUUGCUAGGUGGAUUAGUGGCGAACGGGUGAGUAAUACGUGAGUAACCUACCUUUAACUCUGGGAUAAGCCUGGGAAACUGGGUCUAAUACCGGAUACGACCAAUCUCCGCAUGGGGUGUUGGUGGAAAGCGUUAUGUAGUGGUUAUAGAUGGGCUCACGGCCUAUCAGCUUGUUGGUGAGGUGACGGCUCACCAAGGCGACGACGGGUAGCCGGCCUGAGAGGGUGACCGGCCACACUGGGACUGAGACACGGCCCAGACUCCUACGGGAGGCAGCAGUGGGGAAUAUUGCACAAUGGGCGCAAGCCUGAUGCAGCGACGCCGCGUGAGGGAUGACGGCCUUCGGGUUGUAAACCUCUGUUAGCAGGGAAGAAGAGAAAUUGACGGUACCUGCAGAGAAAGCGCCGGCUAACUACGUGCCAGCAGCCGCGGUAAUACGUAGGGCGCGAGCGUUGUCCGGAAUUAUUGGGCGUAAAGAGCUUGUAGGCGGUUUGUCGCGUCUGCUGUGAAAGGCCGGGGCUUAACCCCGUGUAUUGCAGUGGGUACGGGCAGACUAGAGUGCAGUAGGGGAGACUGGAAUUCCUGGUGUAGCGGUGGAAUGCGCAGAUAUCAGGAGGAACACCGAUGGCGAAGGCAGGUCUCUGGGCUGUAACUGACGCUGAGAAGCGAAAGCAUGGGGAGCGAACAGGAUUAGAUACCCUGGUAGUCCAUGCCGUAAACGUUGGGCACUAGGUGUGGGGGACAUUCCACGUUUUCCGCGCCGUAGCUAACGCAUUAAGUGCCCCGCCUGGGGAGUACGGCCGCAAGGCUAAAACUCAAAGAAAUUGACGGGGGCCCGCACAAGCGGCGGAGCAUGCGGAUUAAUUCGAUGCAACGCGAAGAA